AAAUAUCAAAUGGUUCCUUGUUAAAUACAUUUGGAAAAAUUCCUCAGGAAGACAGGUGGAACUUCGGGAAAGCCUCAAGCGAUGGUGACCUUUGAGGAAAACUGGAUACCUGCUGUUUCCUAAAUAGCAGCCUCAGACAUUGUCUUAAUCAUCACACUGCGUCAUAAGGUGUUGAGUGAAGAUAUCCAGUGCUACCUGCCCCUACCCUUACUGGGUACCACACCUCCAGUGGUACCAGCCCCUAACCUUACCGGGUACCACACCUCCAGUGGUAUCUGUCCCUACCGUUACUGGGUACGACACCUCCCGUGGUACCUGCCCCUACCCUUAGUGGGAACCACACCUUCAGUGGUACCUGCCCUAACUCUUGCUGGGUACCACACCUCCACCACAGCCGUCUUCUACCACAGCCGUCCUCCACCACAGCCGUCCUCCGCCACAGCCGUCCUCCACCACAGCCGUCCUCCACCACAGCCGUCUUCCGCCACAGCCGUCCUCCACCACAGCCGUCCUCCACCACAGCCGUCUUCCGCCACAGCCGUCCUCCGCCACAGCCGUCCUCCGCCACAGCCGGUCUACUCAGCCAUGACCGUCAAAUAUACUGAUAAGAUUGCAAGCCAGGGUGUCUUCGGUUCCCUAUGGAAGCUCUUAAUCAUGUGGCGAGGGAGCGUCUUCAAGAUGGUGUGGCCUGAAAUGCUCUUAUUCAUUAUCCUCUACUACUCUAUAUCCUUCAUCUACCGCUUCGCUCUACCAAGUGACUCCCAAAGGUAAAGUUAAGUACAAGACACCACCUGCAAUCUAAGGGUUAGUGAACUGGGACUAGGGUGAUAACAUUUUCUAAUAGAUUUAAGUUUAUA